rnacentral:rRNA from 1 species
ACCUGAAACCGUGUACGUACAAGCAGUGGGAGCACCCUUCGGGGUGUGACUGCGUACCUUUUGUAUAAUGGGUCAGCGACUUAUAUUCUGUAGCAAGGUUAACCGUAUAGGGGAGCCGGAGGGAAACCGAGUCUUAACCGGGCGUUAAGUUGCAGGGUAUAGACCCGAAACCCGGUGAUCUAGCCAUGGGCAGGUUGAAGGUUGGGUAACACUAACUGGAGGACCGAACCGACUAAUGUUGAAAAAUUAGCGGAUGACCUGUGGCUGGGGGUGAAAGGCCAAUCAAACCGGGAGAUAGCUGGUUCUCCCCGAAAGCUAUUUAGGUAGCGCCUCGUGAAUUCAUCUCCGGGGGUAGAGCACUGUUUCGGCUAGGGGGCCAUCCCGGCUUACCAACCCGAUGCAAACUGCGAAUACCGGAGAAUGUUAUCACGGGAGACACACGGCGGGUGCUAACGUCCGUCGUGAAGAGGGAAACAACCCAGACCGCCAGCUAAGGUCCCAAAGUCAUGGUUAAGUGGGAAACGAUGUGGGAAGGCCCAGACAGCCAGGAUGUUGGCUUAGAAGCAGCCAUCAUUUAAAGAAAGCGUAAUAGCUCACUGGUCGAGUCGGCCUGCGCGGAAGAUGUAACGGGGCUAAACCAU